GCGCGCGCAGGCGGCCUUUUAGGUUGGAUGUGAAAGCCUAUGGCUCAACCAUAGAACUGCAUCCAAAACUAUCAGGCUAGAGUGUGGGAAAGGAAGAUGGAAUUAGUUGUGUAGGGGUAAAAUCCGUAGAGAUAACUAGGAAUACCAAAAGCGAAGGCAAUCUUCUGGAACAUUACUGACGCUGAGGCGCGAAAGCGUGGGGAGCAAACAGGAUUAGAUACCCUGGUAGUCCACGCCCUAAACGAUGAAUGUUAGUCGUCGGGUAGCUGGUCUAUUCGGUGAUGCGGCUAACGCAUUAAACAUUCCGCCUGGGGAGUACGGUCGCAAGAUUAAAACUCAAAGGAAUAGACGGGGACCCGCACAAGUGGUGGAGCAUGUGGUUUAAUUCGAAGAUACGCGAAGAACCUUACCUAGCCUUGACAUAUUUUAGAACACUUUAGAGAUAGAGUGGUGCCUUCGGGAGCUAAUAUACAGGUGCUGCACGGCUGUCGUCAGCUCGUGUCGUGAGAUGUUGGGUUAAGUCCCGCAACGAGCGCAACCCUCGUCACUAGUUACUAACGGUUCGGCCGAGGACUCUAGUGAGACUGCCUUCGCAAGGAGGAGGAAGGUGAGGACGACGUCAAGUCAUCAUGGCCCUUACGGCUAGGGCAACACACGUGCUACAAUGGCCAGGACAAUGAGAAGCGAUACCGCGAGGUGGAGCAAAUCUAUAAACCUGGUCUCAGUUCGGAUUGUAGUCUGCAACUCGACUACAUGAAGCUGGAAUCACUAGUAAUCGUAGAUCAGCUAUGCUACGG
rnacentral:rRNA from 1 species